GGCGGGGUGGCCCAGUGGUCCACGGCGGCAGCCUGCUAAGCUGCUGAGCGAAAGCUCUCCUGGGUUCAAAUCCCAGCCCCGCCG
rnacentral:tRNA from 1 species